rnacentral:misc_RNA from 1 species
GGGAGCAAUUGAACCCACGCGCCGCCGCAGUUAACCGUUACGAUAACUCUCCCUCGGUUGCUCCACCAGCUCUAUGAAUGAGAGAGUAAAGGUGAAGUCUUUGAAUGCCUAAAUUGUUCAUCAAUGGCUGCGUCGUCGCCUGCCCUAAGUAACAGCGCCGAUAACGCUCCGUCACCGGCACCUGCCCCCGCCGUUCCCACCGCAACCGCUGCUGCUGCUUUUUCCAGCCUUCCGACGACAAACGCAUCAAAAAAUC